AAACCAUGAUGAAGACACUGUCUUUGUAGAUCUUUAAACCUUUCCCAAGUUUUAAAUAAAGACUCAUCAUCCCUUUGGUAAAAAGUGGCUAUCUUAUUUCUCAAUUU